AUGACUCAGAAGAACCUUUCCACGACGCUCCUCAAAUACGACGACAUACUCCGUCGCUAUUUGUCUUCCAAACACAACAAAUUCGGUAUAUGUGCCUCAACUAUCACCAUUUGCCUCAAAACAUGUGUUGCCUUAGGCAUCCUAGAAUUUGGAAGAGGGGUUCACGUGGAUUCCAUCAAGCUCAGUUUCAACUCUGAUUGUUUUGUAGGUUCUUCUCUCAUUCGGUUUUACUCACAAUAUGGAAAAAUUAAAUAUGCACAUAAGGUGUUCGAUGAAAUUAAUAACAAAGAUAUUGUUGCUUACACUUCAAUUAUCAACGCAUAUGCUCACUCUGCUGGUUCUUCUGCUUCUGGUGCUUUCAAUAUUGCUUCCACCAUGCAGCAGCAAGGGUUGCUUCCGAAUCGAGUAACACUAGUGAGCUUGAUGCAUGCAGCGGCAAAAUUGGUGGUGCUGCAUGAGGGCCGUGCGAUUCAUGGUUACGCUGUUAGGAGAGAAAUUGGUUUGUGUGAUGAUGUUUUUGAGACAACCCUUUUGGAUAUGUAUUAUAAAUGUGGUGGUAUUGGGUUAGCUGCCUCGGUUUUUGCCAAGAUGGAUGCUCGAAAAACAACAAAUGUCGGUUCUUGGAACACUUUGAUAGCUGCUUAUCUUCAAAAUGGACAGGCUUUUGAAGCUUUCGACCUUUUUCGUCAAAUGAUAUGUAGAAAUGUUUUGCCUGAUUUGGUAACAUUGGCCAAUGCUAUUCUGUGUUGUGGUGAGUUGAAUUAUUUUCGUCGAGGGAUGAGUAUUCAUGGAUACAUGAUCAUGAUGGGGGCAGAACUUGAUUUGGUGGCUUCCACUGCUUUGAUUGAUCUAUACUGUAAAAUUGAUGUAACCAAAGCUAGGAAACUGUUUGAAAGAUUGGGGAAUAAGGAUGCUGUUGUAUAUAAUGUUAUGAUGACUGGUUAUCUUGAAAAUGAGUUACCUGCGGAUGCGGUAAAUGUCUUUCGCGAAAUGCUCAAGACGAACGUUAGUCCAAAUGUGGCUUUGUUUCUUAAUUUGAUUCCCGCUGUAUCAAAUUUGAGAGAUAUUAUAUUAGUCAGGUCUAUACAUGGUUAUGCAUUGAGGCAUAUGCACAUAUCACAUGUGGAGAUUGCAAAUCAAAUUAUUCAUACAUAUGCAAAAUAUGGGUAUGUAGUGGAUGCAAGGGUAGUCUUCAAUAGGAUGAGAACAAGGGACUUGGUUUCAUGGACUUCGAUGAUGACAGGUUAUAUUUAUCACGGCCACAUUGACGAAGCCAUAAAUUUGUUUCGUCUGCUGCAAAAAGAAAAUCUAAAUAUUGACUCUGUUACUCUAAUUGGUCUCAUUCAGGCAUUAUCCCAGCUUGGAUGUCUAAGUUUUGUUAAGGAAGUUCACUGUUUCAGUUAUCGAUUUUUCCAUGGUAACGAGCUCUCUGUAAAUAAUUCUCUUAUUACUACGUAUGCUAAGUCUGGAAAACUACAUAUGGCUAGAAACAUAUUUGAGCAAAUGACAGAACUGUGUCUCACAUCAUGGAAUGCAAUGAUAGGUGCAUAUGCGAUGCAUGGAAACUAUACAGAUGUGUUAGAGCUCUUUGAUUAUAUGAAAAUUGCUAAAGUUACACCUGAUGAAGUGACUUUCACUUCAAUCCUCACUGCUUGCAGCCACUCAGGAUUGGUAGAAGAGGGUCUACAAAUUUUUGGGACAAUGAUGAAGGAAUAUGCAAUAGUUCCAAGCGAAGUUCAUUAUAGUUGUAUAGUAGAUUUAUUAAGCCGAGCUGGCCGACUUAAGGAGGCAUACAAUCUGGUCAAAAGCAUGCCGUCAACACAUAGUUCUGCUGCAUUGUCUGCUUUGCUUUCUGCUUGCAGGUUAUAUGGAGAUACAGAGAUUGGGGAGGCUAUAGGGAAACAAAUACUAAAAUUAGAACCACAUAGCUCAGGUGCUUAUGCUUUGGUAUCAAAUAUACGAGCCCAAGGGGGGAGGUGGGAUGAAGUAGCCCAAAUAAGGGCCGUGACAGAGAAUACAAAAGUGAGAAGUAUUCCUGGAUAUAGUGCAUGUUUGGAUUGACUUUGAGUUUUUCAGAAUCACGGUGGAUCACUGGAAGUUUAGCAAAACCUAAUCUCACCGUCAAUCAACAACAGACUUAAAAACAGGGUACAGUUUCGAUAGAUUUUUUAAAGGUGCAGUUUCACCCCAACAGUAUUAUAAGUGGAGUGUAAAUGGGCAUCAAAAGGUCAAUAACGUUGAUAGUGGAGUUGGAUAAGACUGUUUCUUUCCUUGACGAUUUUGGCAAAAUACAGGUACAUACCAUUUCUUUUUCUAGUUGUUGGUUGAUUAAAAAUUAUUAGCACAUUCUAUUGAUUGAAGCUUUUUAUAUUCUAUAUCCCAUUGUUGGUUUUCAAUGUAUCUUUAUCUUCGACUAUUGCCUGUAAUUCUCUUCAAGUGGUUUGAACUAGGGGAGAUCUAACAUAUAAUGAACAAAAUCACUUAUUUUAAUUGUUAUUUAAACAUGUGCAAGUAACCCGCAAUCAAGAAAAAUGGUGUUACUCUCCAUUUAUUUAUUUUAAAUUUGGAACAUCUAUUAAAUUUCAGAUAGCGUUUACCUGUGAUGUACACUCAAGUUAAUGAAUGUAAAUGCAGCAUUUGGAGAUUCUUUGAGACAAGGAGAAAAUGAAAAGCAGAUUAAAUAUACGGUUCUUGUUUCCUUGAGGGAUUAAAGGAUAUAUCUUGACACAAUUAAGCUCCAUUGAUGGUUUCCCUUGUCUGAUUUACUUUAUAUUAGCUCAAAGUUUUUUUUCGAACUCAACUAUGGAGCUUAUAGAUUUACAAAUAUCACCUGAAAACCAAUAGAUUGCUUUCAUCAAUGUAGCACCAAAAAUUCAAGUUGAAAGCGUAUUUGGUGUCCGACAUGUGUCAGUGGCAAGCACCGACAUAACACUGACACAUGUGAUUACAUUCAAUUCUAUUUUUCAAAUUAUUAGCAGUCUUGGAGUCCGUUUUUCUGUCAGUAUCGUGUCCGUGUCAAUACUUAGUAGAUUCUUGUCGAAAGCAUAUCUAAAUAAGUCAAUGUAACUACUCUUAGCGUUCUGCUUUACUAACUUUGAUGAGUUGUUGAGAUUGAUUUUAUAUGAUAACUUAAAAUACCUGAAAGCUGUUUCAUCAUGAUCUUGUGACCUUACUUUUGCCACAGGUAGGCAGUGGUCCAAGAAUUAGUUUUCACUUUGCCCCUACCAUCCCCCCUUCAUGUGUAUGCACUUUUGGCUCUAAGUGUGGAUAAAAACUAGCUUAACCUUUCCUUGUGCUAAGAGUUAAAUUUGAUAAAUAGAUACAAAGAAAUUUGUUAAAAGAGAGUAAGAGACUCUGAUAACAUGUUAAGUAAUGAAACUCAUUUAUUUAACAGGUCCAUAUUCAUGAAUGACUUGUAAAUAGUUUUUGUAUGGGAUUAAGUUCAAUAUUUCAUAUAACUAAAUUCCUUUCCUUGGUAACAGGCAGAAUGUACAGUGCUACAAAAUAUUUUGAUGCAAGCAUUUGUUGAUUUGAAUGCAUUAAAUGAACCACCAAAGUUUGCCCUAUUUUGGAAAUUGAAGCUAUGUUAUCACUAUCAUUACUUUAUUGAGUGAUCUUCUACAUCUUUUGCAUAUAUUUUGAAGAUUUGUUUAGAUUGCUAUAAAUUAUGUAAUCUGAUUUCUUACACUGUUUUGCACGUUCAUUUCAGUGCCUGGUAUCUUGUUUAUGACGAUGCUGUAGCAUCUUCAACAUGGCAGAGUGUACUACAGCACUGGUAUGACCCUAAACCAGACAGAUAUAUAAAAGAAUUUAGCAGCAAUUAGCAUGUUAGAUCAGGAUCAGCAUGGAAAUUAUGCUACUAUGCAAGUGGAAGUAUAUUUGUAAAGUUCUCAUGCAUUGUUGCAAUUGGUUCAUAUUGUUAUGUGUAUAAUAUUUGUGCAACUUCCAAUUUACACUGAUAAAUUGGUCUUUAUUCUAUUAAGCUCAAAAAUUAUGUUUUCCCAUUAUUGACUAAGCUUCGCUAGACGAAUUCUGGCAUGGGAUACUCAAAGGAUAAUAAAUGAUGUUCAUAUUUUGCAGUUUGGCUUAUCAGACGAAAUAUAAACUGAGAAAAGUUACUUGGAUGCCGUCAGCCACAAUUAUUUCAAGGUCAAUUUUUUGUCGAAUAAUAUGUAACGAGACAUUUUGCACAUGAGAGUGACGAUAAAACUAAUAUUUAUCUUAACACAAGUGUUUUCGAACAACAAAAUUUCACACUUCUAUUUUAAGAUUCCAACUAAAGCAAAAGAUGUUUACAAGUAAGUUAUAUAUAAAACUAACCAACUUUUCUUUUCUUUAUAUCUUUACUACUUAGUUAUAUAUAAAACAACCAACUUUUCUUUUCUUUAUAUAUGAUCUUUGGAAAGUGAAAAAGAAUUGAGAAAAGUCUGAGUUGUUAACUUCUUAUCAUGUAAAAAGGUUGAGGGAGUACCAUAGAGUCAUAAUGCACACAAUGAUGAGUCCAACCCUUAAUUUCUCAUGCCACCUUGCAUGCUUAGAAUAAACAGUUUAAAAGCAUUUUAAAUGGUGAUACCAGUAUAUGAGCUACCUCAAAAUUAUGGACUCACCGAAAGUGAACAUUAUUUGGUCACACCAUUCUCUUAGAUUAUUAAGAAUUCAUGAUCAAAGUUAUUGUAUAUACUUAUUAAGCAGACACAUGACCCAAAGUGAGGCCUUAUGUACUAAGAAACACCAUGUUAUUGGUUGUUCAAAUCAAAGUAUAAACACUCUGGCAAAGUCACAUAGAUCAACCUGUCCUCAAAUGCUUAAAUCUAGGAGGAGCAUGUGAAUAUCAUCAUCAAUAAUCAUAGUAUGGAUUUGGAAAUUUGAGUAUGGGCAAAGAAAUGGGAAAUGACAACACUUCUGCUGUCAAAGAGGAAGAUAACAUAAGUGAAGUUAAUUAUAAGAAUAUCAUAGAAGAUACUAGUGAACAUGCAAAUGAGAUAUCACAAGAAGAAAAUCAGAAUGUACCAACAUCAUCUUUAGCCAAAGAUAUACCGCAAGAUGUUCAUGAUGCAGAUGAUGAUGUGAAAGGGAAGAAAACUCAAACCAUUUCAAUAUCUGAAGCCAAUGAUGCUUAUGACAUACAUAUGAAAAAUCAAAUGCAUCCAAAACCAGAAGAAGAUGUUAUGGAGAAAGCAAGAACUGAACUUGGACAAGUUUCGAUGCAAGAAGAAAUUCACGGAAACGAUGUGGAAGAGAAAACUCAAGAAGAAAUUCGCGGAGACGACGUGGAGGAGAAAAUUCAAUCGAUUUCAACAGCUAUAUUUGCAAAUGGUGGUUAUGAAACAAGGGACAGUGUAACAAGGCUAAGUACUGAAUCAAACCCUGAUAAUCUAAACAUCACUUCUCAGAUGCAAAAAUCACCAAGUUUCAAUCUCAACCUCCGAAUCGAAUCAAAGCGAGAAGAAUCGGAUCAAAUUCCAUUGCUUUGUAAAUCCGCAAACGAUAUCUUGUCAAACAAGUUAAGUCAAAAUCUCACUAACUCAAUGCCUCAUGAUGAAAAUGAUCACAUUGAAGAGAAAAUAGUUACUAUGGAAAGAAGUUACUCAGAGGUAUCAAAAUCUUCAUUCAUUGGUUUUUCGAAAGAAGAAGAUGAAGAAGCAAAUGAUCUUCUGGUCAUGGAACAGAUACAAGAUAACAAUGCUGGUUCGAGGAUGGAAGUGUUGUCAUCUACUUCACCUAAAGGAAAAGAAAAGGGCAAGUCUAUGUCUUACUUCUUAACCAGCUGCAUGUGUUGUGCAACUUUGCCAAAUUAAAACCUUUACAGUUA